rnacentral:rRNA from 1 species
GAUGAACGCUGGCGGCGUGCCUAAUACAUGCAAGUCGAGCGAACAGACGAGGAGCUUGCUCCUCUGACGUUAGCGGCGGACGGGUGAGUAACACGUGGAUAACCUACCUAUAAGACUGGGAUAACUUCGGGAAACCGGAGCUAAUACCGGAUAAUAUAUUGAACCGCAUGGUUCAAUAGUGAAAGACGGUUUUGCUGUCACUUAUAGAUGGAUCCGCGCCGCAUUAGCUAGUUGGUAAGGUAACGGCUUACCAAGGCAACGAUGCGUAGCCGACCUGAGAGGGGGGUCGGCGACACUGGAACUGGGACACGGUCAAGGCGACUGAGGGAGGCAGCAGUAGGGAAUCUGACGCAAUGGGCGAAAGCCUGACGGAGCAACGCCGCGUGAGUGAUGAAGGUCUUCGGAUCGUAAAACUCUGUUAUGAGGGAAGAACAAAUGUGUAAGUAACUAUGCACGUCUUGACGGUACCUAAUCAGAAAGCCACGGCUAACUACGUG